CUGCUGAAAGGAAGGACUAUGGA
rnacentral:piRNA from 1 species